rnacentral:tRNA from 1 species
GAGGGUAUAGCUCAGUGGUAGAGUACAUGCUUAGCAUGCACGAAGUCCUGGGUUCAAUCCCCAGUAACUACA